AUGCAACUACUACCUAAGAACGCACACCCAGCAUCUAACAACAAAAAAGGUCAGCGAAAUCAAACGCCCAGGCUAGCAGAAACAAAAUCAACAGGGGAAUUAGAUCCACCGUUUCAUCCAUGCACCUAUCACUGUAACAUUGUAGUAGCAGGAAAAAAUCGCCAGGAAAAUCCACCACUAAGACUACACAUACACCCACAUCUACAUCAAACACAAGGGAAUCGAAUCAAACCAGAAGAUCUAGAAGAAAUUCAACGGGGAAAGGGAGAAGACCCGGAUAACGAACUGAAAUCACACGACACUGGAGCGGAAAUCAAUCUGAAAGAAGAGGAGGAUGAGGAGAUCGGAAUCACCAUGGAUGACGAGGAAAUCGCCAAGAACUGCCUCCCUCUCUCAUCUUUAACUCUCGCGAAGAAAUGA
rnacentral:rRNA from 1 species